AACGAACGCUGGCGGCAUGCCUAACACAUGCAAGUCGAACGAGACCGUCGGGUUUAUGGGCGCAGGGGGGCGUAACGCGGGGUGACCUGCCCGUAGGUUCCGUAUACCUCCCCGAGAGAUGUGCUAAUACCGGUUAAUCUCUUCGGACCAAAGAUUUAUCGCCUUUGGAUGGGCGCGCGUUGGAUUAGCUGGUUGGUAGGGUAAAAGCCUACCAAGGCGACGAUCCAUAGCUGGUCUGAGAGGAUGAUCAGCCACACUGGGACUGAGACCCGGCCCAGAAUCCUACGGGAGGGAGCAGUGGGGAAUAUUGGACGAUGGGCGCAAGCCUGAUCAAGCCAUGCCGGGUAAGUGAUGAAGGGCUUAGGGUUGUACAGCUGUUUUACACGGGAUGAUAAUGACAGUACCGGGAGAAUAAGCACCGGCUAACUACGUG
rnacentral:rRNA from 1 species